UACGGAGGAUGCAAGCGUUAUCCGGAAUGAUUGGGCGUAAAGCGUCCGCAGGUGGCAAUGUAAGUCUGCUGUCAAAGCGUCUGGCUCAACCAGAUAAAGGCAGUGGAAACUACAUAGCUAGAGUAAGGUAGGGGUAGAGGGAAUUCCUGGUGUAGCGGUGAAAUGCGUAGAGAUCAGGAAGAACACCGACGGCGAAAGCACUCUGCUGGGCCGACACUGACACUGAGAGACGAAAGCUAGGGGAGCGAAUGGG
rnacentral:rRNA from 1 species